AUGUGGGACGGCUCCCACAACAUCUCGCAGCCUUGGGAAUCUCUUCCGUUCCAGCUCCGCGUGCUCCACGCUGCCUCCGAGGGCACGGUCGGAUGUUUGCUUGAGAAACAGCUGCGGUGGUUUAACAAGUUACUGCUUGAUCAGCUAUUUGUUACUGCUCCCCUCUGCCGGGGCGCAGUAACUGAAUACGUGGGCUCUGCCCGGCUGUUGCAGCGCGGGGGAAAACAGGCUGGCUCCAACCCUUCGCAGAAAACAAAGAGUUCAGCCUGAGACCGAGAAAUUGCUUCAUAAGAAAACCAUCUGUGCUGAGAGAGAUGGACUAAGGUAUCCUGUCACCUACUCUGGGGUCUGCUCAGGUUUAGUAUAAAACAUUGCUAUUCAUAUUCAGUUAGCAAAUAAGGUUGGGCUGAGGUAGCAGCACCUGUUCUGAGUGCAUUUCCUAUAAAUCAGUCUAGAUGUUUAAUAUGUUCCUCAUUACCAGAGCAUUUGAAAACCAGCAAUACACCUGAAAACCAAUUUGCUGAUAUAAAUGUUCCAACAAAGUGGUGAAUUUUCAGCUCACACUGUCAGUUAUUGGCAGGAAGCAAAUUUUGACUUGGCCCUUGUCAAAGUUAAUACAAUUCACAGUCAUACUUUUCCAAUCAAACUUUGAAAAUACAAUGUGCACUAUACACCUUUGCAACAGCUGAAAUCCCAAAUUUUUAACACAUGCAACGAAAUCUCUGCAUAGGCACUGCAUAUAUGAAAUGAUUUGGUGAUUUGGUGGGAAAAAUUAAAAAAAAAAAGAAAAGGAAAAAGCAAAAAUCAAAUAGCAAGGACAUUCAAGGAAAUCUUCACCUGUCUACAAAAAGCGUUAAUGGGAGAAAAGUUGACUCAGCUCCUGACUGUGAAAGGCUUGCCCAGCUCUGACUGCUUGUACACCAAGUAGCUGGCAGAGAAAUGCCCCAAGUGGGAGAUGCCUUGCACUUUGGGAAUUUACCCCAGGAACAAAACAAAGUGAUAUUCCCUCAUCUGCUCUUGAACCCAAGACAGAUCAGGGGAUAAAGGAGGCAGGAAAAAAGAGUGCUGACCUGCUCGGAGCAGAGGCAUGGCAGCCAGGUUUCUCAUUCUUGUGUCAACUCCUGGCAACUGUGAGCUCCUGAAGAGAGAUGCCA
rnacentral:lncRNA from 1 species